rnacentral:rRNA from 1 species
CGAACGGGUGAGUAAUACAUCGGAACGUGCCCAGUAGUGGGGGAUAGCCCGGCGAAAGCCGGAUUAAUACCGCAUACGACCUGAGGGUGAAAGCGGGGGAUCGCAAGACCUCGCGCUACUGGAGCGGCCGAUAUCAGAUUAGCUAGUUGGUGGGGUAAAGGCCUACCAAGGCAACGAUCUGUAGUUGGUCUGAGAGGACGACCAGCCACACUGGGACUGAGACACGGCCCAG